rnacentral:rRNA from 1 species
GCUAGCGACAGGCUUAACACAUGCAAGUCGAUGGGCAGCACAGGUAGCAAUACCGGGUGGCGACCGGCGCACGGGUGAGUAACGCGUAUGCAACUUGCCUAUCAGAGGGGGAUAACCCGGCGAAAGUCGGACUAAUACCGCAUGAAGCAGGGAUCCCGCAUGGGAAUAUUUGCUAAAGAUUCAUCGCUGAUAGAUAGGCAUGCGUUCCAUUAGGCAGUUGGCGGGGUAACGGCCCACCAAACCGACGAUGGAUAGGGGUUCUGAGAGGAAGGUCCCCCACAUUGGUACUGAGACACGGACCAAACUCCUACGGGAGGCAGCAGUGAGGAAUAUUGGUCAAUGGCCGAGAGGCUGAACCAGCCAAGUCGCGUGAGGGAUGAAGGUUCUAUGGAUCGUAAACCUCUUUUAUAAGGGAAUAAAGUGCGGGACGUGUCCCGUUUUGUAUGUACCUUAUGAAUAAGGAUCGGCUAACUCCGUGCCAGCAGCCGCGGUAAUACGGAGGAUCCGAGCGUUAUCCGGAUUUAUUGGGUUUAAAGGGUGCGUAGGCGGCCUUUUAAGUCAGCGGUGAAAGUCUGUGGCUCAACCAUAGAAUUGCUGUUGAAACUGGGGGGCUUGAGUAUGUUUGAGGCAGGCGGAAUGCGUGGUGUAGCGGUGAAAUGCAUAGAUAUCACGCAGAACCCCGAUUGCGAAGGCAGCCUGCCAAGCCAUUACUGACGCUGAUGCACGAAAGCGUGGGGAUCAAACAGGAUUAGAUACCCUGGUAGUCCACGCAGUAAACGAUGAUCACUAGCUGUUUGCGAUACACUGUAAGCGGCACAGCGAAAGCGUUAAGUGAUCCACCUGGGGAGUGCGCCGGCAACGGUGAAACUCAAAGGAAUUGACGGGGGCCCGCACAAGCGGAGGAACAUGUGGUUUAAUUCGAUGAUACGCGAGGAACCUUACCCGGGUUUGAACGCAUUCGGACCGAGGUGGAAACACCUUUUCUAGCAAUAGCCGUUUGCGAGGUGCUGCAUGGUUGUCGUCAGCUCGUGCCGUGAGGUGUCGGCUUAAGUGCCAUAACGAGCGCAACCCUUGCCACUAGUUACUAACAGGUAAAGCUGAGGACUCUGGUGGGACUGCCAGCGUAAGCUGCGAGGAAGGCGGGGAUGACGUCAAAUCAGCACGGCCCUUACAUCCGGGGCGACACACGUGUUACAAUGGCGUGGACAAAGGGAGGCCACCUGGUGACAGGGAGCGAAUCCCCAAACCACGUCUCAGUUCGGAUCGGAGUCUGCAACCCGACUCCGUGAAGCUGGAUUCGCUAGUAAUCGCGCAUCAGCCAUGGCGCGGUGAAUACGUUCCCGGGCCUUGUACACACCGCCCGUCAAGCCAUGGGAGCCGGGGGUACCUGAAAUCCGUAACCGCGAGGAUCGGCCUAGGGUAAAAC